rnacentral:misc_RNA from 1 species
GUGAAUCAUCGAAUUUUUGAACGCAAAUUGCACUCUCUUCGGAGAGUAUGCCUGUUUGAGGGUCAGCCUAAAAAAAAAUCGACAUAGUUGCUGUUUCGCGGUGACUUUCGCCGGAAAUCGGGUAAUCUUAAGCUUUUGGGAUUUAAGAGGCUUAAAAUUUUUUUUCUGAUUCUACGAACGCUUCCAAGAUUAACUUCUUAU